UCCGGUUGAUCCUGCCAGAGGCCGCUGCUAUCCGGCUGGGACUAAGCCAUGCUAGUCUAGGGGCUUGUACUCCUUCGGGGGUGCAAGCACCGGCGGACGGCUCAGUAACACGUGGACAACCUGCCCUCGGGUGGGGGAUAACCCCGGGAAACUGGGGCUAAUCCCCCAUAGGUGAUGGGUGCUGGAAUGCCCCAUCUCCGAAAGCGCUUAGCGCCCGAGGAUGGGUCUGCGGCGGAUUAGGUAGUUGGUGGGGUAACGGCCCACCAAGCCUAAGAUCCGUACGGGCUGUGGGAGCAGGAGCCCGGAGAUGGACCCUGAGACAAGGGUCCAGGCCCUACGGGGCGCAGCAGGCGCGAAACCUCCGCAAUGCGGGAAACCGCGACGGGGUUAGCCGGAGUGCCCGUGCAUUGCACGGGCUGUCGGG
rnacentral:rRNA from 1 species